rnacentral:tRNA from 1 species
CGGGCUGUAGCUUAAGGGGAAGCAUCUCGGUUACGUUGAGAAGAUCACUGAGUGUAGUGUGGCNNGAGGA